rnacentral:misc_RNA from 1 species
AACGCACCUUGCGCUCCUUGGCAUUCCGAGGAGCACGCCUGUUUGAGUGUCAUGUUAACUCUCAGCCCUUUCGGGUUGGACUUUGGACGUUGCGGGAGGCCGCCUUCCGCUCGUCUCAAAUGCAUUAGCGGGGUUUUUGUUACCCAUUGCUGGCGUUUAGUAAUGCUUGCGCCGCGCGGGGUCCUUCGAACCGCUCACUAGCCCCGACGCCUUCGCGUCGAACUUUGACUUUCUGGCCUCAAAUCAGGUGGGAUUACCCGCCGAACUUAA